GAUGAACGCUAGCUACAGGCUUAACACAUGCAAGUCGAGGGGCAUCAGGAAGAAAGCUUGCUUUCUUUGCUGGCGACCGGCGCACGGGUGAGUAACACGUAUCCAACCUGCCCUUUACUCGGGGAUAGCCUUUCGAAAGAAAGAUUAAUACCCGAUAGCAUAAUGAUUCCGCAUGGUUUCAUUAUUAAAGGAUUCCGGUAAAGGAUGGGGAUGCGUUCCAUUAGGUUGUUGGUGAGGUAACGGCUCACCAAGCCUUCGAUGGAUAGGGGUUCUGAGAGGAAGGUCCCCCACAUUGGAACUGAGACACGGUCCAAACUCCUACGGGAGGCAGCAGUGAGGAAUAUCGGUCAAUGGGCGUUAGCCUGAACCAGCCAAGUAGCGUGAAGGAUGAAGGCUCUAUGGGUCGUAAACUUCUUUUAUAUAAGAAUAAAGUGCAGUAUGUAUACUGUUUUGUAUGUAUUAUAUGAAUAAGGAUCGGCUAACUCCGUGCCAGCAGCCGCGGUAAUACGGAGGAUCCGAGCGUUAUCCGGAUUUAUUGGGUUUAAAGGGAGCGUAGGUGGACUGGUAAGUCAGUUGUGAAAGUUUGCGGCUCAACCGUAAAAUUGCAGUUGAUACUGUCAGUCUUGAGUACAGUAGAGGUGGGCGGAAUUCGUGGUGUAGCGGUGAAAUGCUUAGAUAUCACGAAGAACUCCGAUUGCGAAGGCAGCUCACUGGACUGCAACUGACACUGAUGCUCGAAAGUGUGGGUAUCANACAGG
rnacentral:rRNA from 1 species